rnacentral:rRNA from 1 species
AUUGAACGCUGGCGGCAGGCCUAACACAUGCAAGUCGAACGGUAACAGGAAGAAGCUUGCUUCUUUGCUGACGGGUGGCGGACGGGUGAGUAAUGUCUGUGAAACUGCCUGAUGGAGGGGGAUAACUACUGGAAACGGUAGCUACUACCGCAUAACGUCGCAAGACCAAAAAGGGGGACCUUCGGGCCUCUUGCCAUCGGAUGUGCCCAGAUGGGAUUAGCUAGUAGGUGGGGUAACGGCUCACCUAGGCGACGAUCCCUAGCUGGUCUGAGAGGAUGACCAGCCACACUGGAGCUGAGACACGGUCCAGACUCCUACGGGAGGCAGCAGUGGGGAAUAUUGCACAAUGGGCGCAAGCCUGAUGCAGCCAUGCCGCGUGUAUGAAGAAGGCCUUCGGGUUGUAAAGUACUUUCAGCGGGGAGGAAGGGAGUAAAGUUAAUACCUUUGCUCAUUGACGUUACCCGCAGAAGAAGCACCGGCUAACUCCGUG